rnacentral:lncRNA from 1 species
CAGCUCCUUUUUCUUUCCACUCUCAUUCAUUUCUCUCCUGGCUUUGCUCCUCUCCUGUCUUUCCCGUUUCCAGUAUUCCUUCAAAGAGUUCUCUGCUUGGAUUGCAGGAUCAACCAGCUUCCCACAGUUUCCCGUUUUAUUUUCGCCAUCUCACUUCUCAUUUCUGCUGAGGGUAUAAAGGCGCCUUGAGGUCGCCCAACUCCCGGGAGGGAAGCUAAGCGAGAAGUUGGAGAGAAGGGUUAAGACCACCGACGUCAGUCCUCCAGCGCAUCCCAGAGGGACCCGUUGCCCCGCGUGGUGGGGGUAGGGCCGGGAGGUGGAGCUCCCGCGAUCUACAAGUCUCCCUGGCAGCGGCAGCGAGUUCCGCUUUGCGGUUUUUUUUUUUGUUGUUGUUGUUGAUGUUGUUGUGCAGCCCGGAUGGAAAUGUAGGCUUGUGGGAUUGAUGGGCAUUUUAAUAACAAUCAUUGUUGCAUUUCAUUACUUUUCAGGAUUCUUUGAACAUCGUAUGUCUUGGCUUCCUAUAAGAACGUGCUGCAGCGAGCCUAUUUUCCUGCUGAAAAAGCCCAGGAAAUCAAGAGAGUUUCUCCAGUGGAUAUUGGAAAGGACAUUCAGUUGUGAAGAUGAGAAUAUAGAAAAUCUGGAGAAGGAGCAUAAUGUUUAUGAGGGAGUGUUGAGUGAUUUAUUUUUGAUAUUUGAUGUUUUGAAAUAUUUUUUGAUCUCUAAGCAUAGGUAGAAAAUACAGAAUUUUAGUAAUUAGGAGAAGGCAGGUUUGCAAGAAUCAUUUCACAUAUGAUUAUGGAGAGAUACUGAGGUUUUCUUUCUUCUUUCUCUUCACCUUUUAAAUAGAUUUUAUUUUUAGAGCAGUUUUAGUUUCACAGUAAAAUUGUGCAGAAAGCACAUUUCUUAAAUUCCAGGAAUACUUUCCCCUCUUCAGUCUCACCCACUCUCAAUAGCCCACUCCAGAAUCAUGGUUUGCUAUAGUUGAUGAACCUACAUUAACAUAUCAUUAAAGCCCAUUGUUUAUGUUUGGGCUUUUUCUUGGUGUUAUACAUCCUAUGGGUUUAGAAAAACAUAUCAUAGUACAUACCAACUAAUUUUAUGGACUUAUAAAUUCUCUUUGUUCCCUCUUCAUCCUUCCCUUUCCCUUUAUAGCCCUUGGUAACCUCUGAUAUUUUCACUGUCUCCACAUUUUGCAUUUUCUGCAAGGGUUUUAAGGAAGAUGGAUUGGAAGAAGACAGAGGUGAAAGCAAAAUAAAUAAGAGGUCAUGAGUAAUGAAAAAUAAAGCAAUAGAUCAUUGAAAGAAGGAAAAGUAUUGGGAAAAGGUAUCAUGGAAAACUUAAGUAUCUCAAAGGGAAAUAGAGAUGGGAUUUACUAGUGAUACCAGGAAAUUUAAAAAGGAAGAUGGUUAUUGGAAUUUUAUAAGAAGUAGGAAUUAUAGCAUACCAGAUAUCGAUUGAACUGUCCAGUUUGAUAUUUAAUAGGAAUAUAGAAAGUUUGAAGAAGAAUGGAAAUUCAAUAAAGUUGCUGCGUGGCAUUCAGACUAGGCACAACAAGUUACCUGAAUAGUCCAGCUAGAAUAUGAGGCUUCUGCCAAGAGAUCAGUUGCCUAUUGAAGAAGAACUAAUCACCUAUUUGUUAGACAUCAUCCUGUACUGGCAGGAUUUUACAGAUCUACCUUUGCUUUUCUAACUUUGUCCUUUUCUCAGCUGAUCCCUAUGGGGCAUGAAAAUGUGGCAGUAUAACAACUGUGGACUCCAGAAUUAUCCUAGAGGGAAUGGAGAAACAGAAGUGUUGGAGAGCCAUCUAAGACUCCUGCCCCAAGAAGUCAUUUUUGCUCUUGGUAAAUCUGUCAUUCUAGUUCUCUGAUAAUGGGUUAUGUUGAUUUCUUUUUGGUCUUCUUUGAGUACUAAUAAGAGUGUGGCAGACUGGCUGAAAGAAAAACUAAAAGAAUUAUUACUGGUUUACUUUCUGUGUAACACCAAUCAGAAAGUCAAAGAAUGUAGAGAAAAACAAGGAAUGAAAAGAAUCCAGUGUUGGGGAGAAACUAGGAAAGAGCUAAGUCCCUGAGGAGACCCAGCCACUAUAUAGGUUCUUCAUUUCAGUAAUAGUUUUUCUCUGCAUAAUACACAAGAAUAACUAACCCUAUCAAAACCCAGUAUACUGCCAGGCUACAUGUAAUAGUGAUUCCCCAAAUAGGAUAUGACAUAUGUGCUCAUUCCCAUUUGGGGUGAAUGCCUGUAUUUAUCUUUAGGCCCCUUUCAGUUAAUCUUCACACCCAUGGUGGUGCAAUACCUUUCAAGCACUCCAGCCAGAAGAGUCUUUCACCACUAUUCAAUACUUCCCAACAAACCUAAGGAAAAAAUUCUGAUUUUGCAUCAGUAGUGUAAAACUGCCAGUACAAAUCUUGUUUUUCAAGGUGAUUAUUUUAGGAGUUGAAUGAAGAUUGAAAUGGUGAGCUCAAUGUGUAUAUGUAUGUGUGGUUCCAGUGCAAAAAUUCUUUGAUUUCCCAAUUACUACUUCAGAAAGCUUCCCAAUUGGUAUAAGAAAGUAAAGAAGAGGUAUCAUGUGGGGCAUGGUGGCCCAUGCCAGAUGUAGUGUUGAAUGCCUAUAAUCCCAGCAGUUUGAGGCAGGAGGAUGGCAAGUUUGAGGUCAGCCUCAGCAACCUGGUGAGACCCUGUCUCAAAAUAAAAAAUAAAAGGGACUGGGGAUGUAGUUCAGUGGUAAACUGACCCUGGGUUAAGGGGCAAAGUCACUAAGUUUUGGAGGGAAUUUGUUAUGUAGCAGUAGAUGGUUAGAUGGUUUCCUGCUUUUGCUGUUAUGAAUAAAUGUGCUAUGAAUUUUUAUGUACAAAUCUUUUGUGAUCAUAUAUUCUCAUUUUGUGGGGUAAAUACCCAUGAGUAGACUUUGUGGAUCAUAUGGUAGCAAUUAUCACAAUUUUGUGAUUGUAAAGUGAUGUCUCAUUUUAAAUUUUUUAUUAAAAAAUUUUGUGUGACUUUGGUGUAUAACAUGAUAUAUAUAUGAUAUAUAUGUAUAAUGCAUAUAUAUAUAUAUAUAUAUAAUUACUAUUCAGUUGACAUCUGGUUAUCUGAUAGGAACAAAAGCCUCAUGGAAGCAUCCUGUUAAGCAUCAUAUAGCCAAUAUGAUGAUUUCCUUAUCUUUCUGGGCUUCUUGGUAGAGAAGAGAGGAAAUAUUGUAAUUAAAAUAUAGUAAUAUGUUAUUAAACAAUGGAAAUAUGUUUGGAAAAAGGAAUUGUUACAUGUUUUCAUCAUUGUGUGAACAUCUUAAAGUUUACUUGUACAAAGUAAGUGACUCCCACAAAACUAGCAGAUAAAAUCGUGCAUUACCAGCAUAUAUGUUGGUAAUUGAGCAAAACAUCAUUAUGCAGCACAUUAUUGUGGCAAGUUUCCUCCUAAUAUUCCAGUAUUAUUAUAAUCUGAUGAAAACUGUUAUUGGUGAUUAUAGUAUGGCAGUAGUUGUGCACAUUAGAUUGAUAGCUAUAUUUUGGUUUUAAAAACAAUACGUAUAUGAGGUGUUGGAUUUGGUUGAGUUUUAGUUUCUCUUCCCUGUGGCUGUUACUUGAAGGAUGAAAGAAGAAAGGGAAUGCAGAAUGUGGUAGCCUAUCUUCUCAUACUCCAUGGGAAGUAAAAGGCAUCUUUCUAAGUCUCAGGUCAGCCAUGGCUCCAGUAUUUCCUUGUAUGGACUUCUUGUGAGCAACAUAAGAGAGGAAAUAUUAAGCAUUGACAGACAGGAUCAUAUCUGAAUUUAAGAUGUUUUAUGAAGAUAUACAUCUUCUCUUAACUGGACCUCCAUCUCUCUCUGUGAUACCACAUGGCCACACUGACCCUCUGCAUCGGUUUGGGUGCAUGGCUUGGGGAACUCAGCAUUUUUACAAAUCAUGAAGAGACUCAUCAAAGAGUCUCAUAAAGAGAACUCAUGAAAGUAUUUGAAUCAGAUCUUCCUCAGCUCUCCCUGGAAUUGCCUUCCUUCCCCAGCAACCUUCUGAAUGCCCUCUAUACCUCCUCAGGGUGUGUAUGAAUGGAUUAAGUGAAGGAGUGCCCACUGCAUAGAAUAGGCCAAAGAACUUGCCCCUCCUUUGGGCAUAGAGAUUUUGGGGCUGAAGGUAGACAGCAAUGACUGAGUUGUAGAAAUAGUGACAGUCAUGAGAUGGGAAGAGCAGGUCCCUAAAGCUCUUUUCCAUGCUUGGGCAAAGUUACUCAUCAGCACUUCCCUUGCAAUAGCAGUGUAAGAGACAAGGUUGAGGCUGAGAGGAACCACCACAAAGAUGACAGUGGACAUAGCUAAUUGGAUUUCAUUGUAGGUGGUAUCUCCACAGGAUAGUCUAGAGAAGGAACUUCACACAAAAAGUCAUCUACUGCCGGUGGGGACAGAAGGGCAGGAGGAGAGUGGUUUGUAUCUGGACUAUGGAUUGGGCCAGACCCAAAACCCAGGCCACAGCUGCCAGCUGCCAGCACAGGCAGGGGUGGAUGAUGGUGGCAUAGUGGAAGGGCUGGCAGUCAGCCAUAUAGUGGUCAAAGGCCAUCACUGUCAGGAGGAUGCACUCAGUUGUUCCCAGGGACAUGAAGAUGAACAGCUAGAUAAAGCAGCUCAGACCAGGAUGGCCUUCUUGGGGCCUCAGAGAUUGACCAGCAUCUCGGGGAUAUAAUUUGUGGUGAAGCAGAGGUCCAAGAAAAAAAGAGGCUGGAGAGGAAAGUAUACUUUGGGGAGUGGAGCCUGUGGCCCAGCACUAACAGCAGGAUGAUGAGUGUGUUGCUCACCAGGGUGAGGAGGUAGGAAGUUAAGAACCCAUAAAGAGAAUCCUUUCUAGCCCUGGGUGGUUAGAGAAGCCCAGAAGGAGGAAUCCCACUGGGGAGCUUUGGUUGAGCAUGGCUUGUUCCUGUUCAGAACUGGAAGGAUGAGAUGAAUGAGCUCCAUCCUGUUUUGUAAAAAGUCAACUCAGAUGCUUGUCAGGCCACAUUAAGUGGACAUUUCUCCCCUCCUUCUCUCCUAGGCUCCAAUUCCCAGGUACAUCACUAUCCAGCACCUCUGUUACCUUGAUCUUCCUGGUCAAGCUUUGUCUAGUGGGAGGACGGAAAGCAGCAAUAUGGUAGACAAUGGAUGGAGUCCCACUCUGGUGCCUCUGACUUCCUGGUUGAACACAAAGGCAACUGACGUAUAACAUGUGUUAAUUACUCUUCAUUAAUUCUGCAGUAACUUAUUGAGCAUAUAUCUUCUUCUGAAUACUGUGGUCAUUCUGUACAUCCAGAAAGAAUUAGCAAAAAAAAAAAAAUUUGUUGUUUGUGUAUGCAGAUUUAGCAAUAAAAUUUUAUUUUUUUGGUCUGGAGAUUUUACCCAGGGAUACUUCAUCACUGAACUAAAUCCUGAGCCCUUUUUUUAUUCUAAGUUGCUGAGGUUCUUGAUAUAUAUAUAUACAUACACACACACACACACACACACACACAUAUUUUUCAAAUUUUAUUUGUUUUUCUACAUGGCAGUAGAGUUUAUUUUGACAUAUAUACACACAUGGAGUAUAACUUAUUCUAACUUGGAUCCCAUUCUUGUUUCAAUUUUUUAUUUUUUCUUUUUAAUUAUACAUGAGAGUAGAAUGUGUUUUGACAUACUAUACAUGCAUGGAGUAUAACUUCCCACUCUUGUGGUUGUACAUGAUGUGGAGUUUCACUGGGCAUGUGUUUGUAUAUGAACAUAGGAAAGUCAUGUUCGAUUCAUUCUACUGUCUUUCCUAUUCCACUUCCCACUCCCUUCCUUUCAUCUUGCUAUAUUUCUAAGGAUGGCCUUGAACUUGAAGUCUUUCUCUCUCAGCCUCUCAAGUCACUGAGAUUACAGGUGUGUCUUAAGGUGCUUUGCCAGAUUUAACAAAACUUCAAGGUCAAAAAUCCCAGACUACAGAAUGUUUAAAUUUAAUUUUUCUUUCCCUAAGGCAAAACCAUUUUCCCAAGGAAAUGAUACAGCCAUUUGUCGAUUGUUUAAGGCAAGGGACUACAGCUCUGCUUGUGUUUCUGCUUGGUCAUCCAAGAACCAGUGUAGCUGGUAUGGUGGUAAAUGGCAUGUAAUUUCAGCUCUUUGGAAGGCUUAGGGAGGAGGUUCAGAAGCUGGAGGACAGUUUAGGCAACCUAGUGAGACACUGUCUCAAAAUCAAAUAAAAAGGGCUGGGAAUAUAGCUCAGUGGUUAAGCAUGCGUGGGUCCAAUCCCUGGACACAUGCACACAUGGGCGGGUGCAUCCAUAUCCACAUACACACAUGGAGCACCCCCACUGUGUAGCAGUCCUUGAACACUUCAUAAUGAUACUCUUGGUUUUAAGAGUUAGCAUGCCUG